rfam:Schistosoma haematobium scaffold665_3, whole genome shotgun sequence.
AGUUUUCUGAAUCUGUGCCCAGAUUUCGUCAGAUACCAGACCAUCAGUACUGAUGAGACUCUCAAGACAAGUGAUGCG